rnacentral:misc_RNA from 1 species
AACUGAUACUACCUGCGGGAACCUGCGGAAGGAUCAUUACCGAGUUUACAACUCCCAAACCCAAUGUGAACGUUACCAAACUGUUGCCUCGGCGGGAUCUCUGCCCCGGGUGCGUCGCAGCCCCGGACCAAGGCGCCCGCCGGAGGACCAACCAAAACUCUUUUUGUAUACCCCCUCGCGGGUUUUUAUAUCUGAGCCAUCUCGGCGCCUCUCGUAGGCGUUUCGAAAAUGAAUCAAAAC